UACGGAGGGUGCAAGCGUUAUCCGGAUUCACUGGGUUUAAAGGGUGCGUAGGUGGGUUGGUAAGUCAGUGGUGAAAUCCCCGAGCUUAACUUGGGAACUGCCAUUGAUACUAUUAAUCUUGAAUACUGUGGAGGUUAGCGGAAUAUGUCAUGUAGCGGUGAAAUGCUUAGAUAUGACAUAGAACACCAAUUGCGAGGGCAGCUAGCUACACAAAUAUUGACACUGAUGCACGAAAGCGUGGGGAUCAAACAGG
rnacentral:rRNA from 1 species